UGUCCCUGGUCUGGGUGGAAUUGCACCUGGCUUGGUGGUGCUUGUCUUUUAUCAGCCAGGAAAACUUAACUCCUUGUUUAUCCCAGGUUAGCUUUUGGUCUGUGUCCAUGCCUGGUUCGUGCCUUGGGCACAUGG